rnacentral:rRNA from 1 species
GAGGGUGCUAUGCUGCAGUCGAGCGACGCAUGCCCAGUUCGUAAGAACAGGGUAUGACGGAGCGGCGAACGGGUGAGUAACACGUGAGCAACCUGCCCCACAGACCGGGAUAGCCCAAGGAAACUUGGAUUAAUACCGGAUUCCCUCGAACAAUCGCAUGGUUGAUCGAGGAAAGGCCUUUGUGCUGUGGGAUGGGCUCGCGGCUUAUCAGCUAGUUGGUGGGGUAAAGGCCUACCAAGGCAUCGACGAGUAGCUGGUCUGAGAGGACGAUCAGCCACACUGGAACUGAGACACGGUCCAGACUCCUACGGGAGGCAGCAGCAGGGAAUCUUGCGCAAUGGGCGAAAGCCUGACGCAGCAACGCCGCGUGGGGGAUGAAGGCCUUCGGGUUGUAAACCCCUUUCAGGAGGGAAGAAAUUGACGGUACCUCCAGAAGAAGGACCGGCCAACUACGUGCCAGCAGCCGCGGUAAUACGUAGGGUCCUAGCGUUAUCCGGAAUCAUUGGGCGUAAAGAGCUCGUAGGCGGUUCAGCAAGUCGGCUGUGAAAGUCCGAGGCUUAACCUCGGAAUUGCAGUCGAUACUGCUGUGACUCGAGUCCGGUAGAGGAGAAUGGAAUUCUCGGUGUAGCGGUGAAAUGCGCAGAUAUCGAGAGGAACACCAGUAGCGAAGGCGGUUCUCUGGGCCGGCACUGACGCUGAGGAGCGAAAGCGUGGGGAGCAAACAGGAUUAGAUACCCUGGUAGUCCACGCCGUAAACGUUGGAUACUAGGGUGUGGCGGUUGUACCAACGACUGCCGUGCCGAAGCUAACGCAUUAAGUAUCCCGCCUGGGGGGAGUACCGGCCGCAAAGGCUAAAACUU